CAUUUAAGAGAUGCGUCGUCGACUUAGCUAGGUAAAAACGUAAUUUAAGGCACUACGUAGAAAUAAAAUUAGCGUUAUGUUUGAAAAUAUAUGGGUUUCAUUUGUUCCUCCCUG